GAUGAAGAACGUAGUGAAAUGCGAUAAUUAAUGUGAAUUGCAGAAUUCAGUGAAUCAUCGAAUCUUUGAACACACAUUGCGCCCGCCAGUAUUCUGGCGGGCAUGCCUGUUCGAGCGUCAUUUCAACCAUCAAGCCCCAGGCUUGUGUUGGGGACCUGCGGCUGCCGCAGGCCCUGAAAACCAGUGGCGGGCUCGCUGUCACACCGGGCGUAGUAGAUUUUAUCUCGCUCAGGGCGUGCUGCGGGUUCCGGCCGUUAAAAAGCCUUUUUUACCCAAGGUUGACCUCGGAUCAGGUAGGAAUACCCGCUGAACUUAAGCAUAUCAAUAAGCGGAGGA
rnacentral:misc_RNA from 1 species